GACGGAGGAUGCAAGCGUUAUCCGGAAUGAUUGGGCGUAAAGCGUCUGCAGGUGGCAGUUCAAGUCUGCUGUCAAAGACCGGGGCUUAACUUCGGAAAGGCAGUGGAAACUGAACAGCUAGAGUAUGGUAGGGGCAGAGGGAAUUCCUGGUGUAGCGGUGAAAUGCGUAGAGAUCAGGAAGAACAUCGGUGGCGAAGGCGCUCUGCUGGACCAUAACUGACACUCAGGGUCGAAAGCUAGGGGAGCGAAAGGG
rnacentral:rRNA from 1 species